UACGUAGGGGGGCAAGCGUUGUCCGGAAUCAUUGGGCGUAAAGCGCGUGUAGGCGGCUCGGUAAGUCUGCUGUGAAAGUCCAGGGCUCAACCCUGGGAUGCCGGUGGAUACUGUCGAGCUCGAGUCCGGAAGAGGCGAGUGGAAUUCCUGGUGUAGCGGUGAAAUGCGCAGAUAUCAGGAGGAACACCAGCGGCGAAGGCGGCGCUCUGGGCCGGUACUGACACUGAGGAGCGAAAGCGUGGGUAGCAAACAGG
rnacentral:rRNA from 1 species